UGCCGCGUGUGUGAAGAAGGCCUUAUGGUUGUAAAGCACUUUAAGCGAGGAGGAGGCUACUUUAGUUAAUACCUAGAGAUAGUGGACGUUACUCGCAGAAUAAGCACCGGCUAACUCUGUGCCAGCAGCCGCGGUAAUACAGAGGGUGCAAGCGUUAAUCGGAUUUACUGGGCGUAAAGCGCGCGUAGGCGGCUAAUUAAGUCAAAUGUGAAAUCCCCGAGCUUAACUUGGGAAUUGCAUUCGAUACUGGUUAGCUAGAGUGUGGGAGAGGAUGGUAGAAUUCCAGGUGUAGCGGUGAAAUGCGUAGAGAUCUGGAGGAAUACCGAUGGCGAAGGCAGCCAUCUGGCCUAACACUGACGCUGAGGUGCGAAAGCAUGGGGAGCAAACAGGAUUAGAUACCCUGGUAGUCCAUGCCGUAAACGAUGUCUACUAGCCGUUGGGGCCUUUGAGGCUUUAGUGGCGCAGCUAACGCGAUAAGUAGACCGCCUGGGGAGUACGGUCGCAAGACUAAAACUCAAAGGAAUUGACGGCGGGCGGGGGCGGCGG
rnacentral:rRNA from 1 species